UGAGUAAUGCAUCGGAACGUACCCAGUCGUGGGGGAUAACUACUCGAAAGAGUAGCUAAUACCGCAUACGACCUGAGGGUGAAAGCGGGGGACCGCAAGGCCUCGCGCGAUUGGAGCGGCCGAUGUCGGAUUAGCUAGUUGGUGGGGUAAAGGCUUACCAAGGCGACGAUCCGUAGCUGGUCUGAGAGGACGACCAGCCACACUGGGACUGAGACACGGCCCAGACUCCUACGGGAGGCAGCAGUGGGGAAUUUUGGACAAUGGGCGCAAGCCUGAUCCAGCCAUGCCGCGUGCGGGAAGAAGGCCUUCGGGUUGUAAACCGCUUUUGUCAGGGAAGAAAAGCUCUGGGCUAAUACCUCGGAGUGAUGACGGUACCUGAAGAAUAAGCACCGGCUAACUACGUGCCAGCAGCCGCGGUAAUACGUAGGGUGCGAGCGUUAAUCGGAAUUACUGGGCGUAAAGCGUGCGCAGGCGGUUGUGCAAGACAGAUGUGAAAUCCCCGGGCUUAACCUGGGAACUGCAUUUGUGACUGCACGGCUAGAGUGUGGCAGAGGGGGAUGGAAU
rnacentral:rRNA from 1 species